rfam:Arabis alpina cultivar Pajares chromosome 1, whole genome shotgun sequence.
UUGCAGGAGCCUCCCGGGCUAAUCUGAUAAAAUCACUUGAGGAACUAAGCCCUAAGCUCCUGCUAGAUUAUUGCAGUUUGUGUUGCAGGCUUGCCUUAUUUCUUAGGCUUUUCUGUGUCAAAAAAGCUGCUACAUAA